rnacentral:rRNA from 1 species
UACAGAGGGUGCAAGCGUUGUUCGGAAUUAUUGGGCGUAAAGCGCGUGUAGGCGGCUUUGCAAGUCGGGUGUGAAAGCCCUCAGCUCAACUGAGGAAGUGCACUCGAUACUGUGUCGCUUGAGUGUUGGAGGGGAUGGCGGAAUUCCCGGUGUAGAGGUGAAAUUCGUAGAUAUCGGGAGGAACACCUGUGGCGAAGGCGGCCAUCUGGACAACUACUGACACUGAGACGCGAAAGCGUGGGUAGCAAACAGG